rnacentral:rRNA from 1 species
GUGUCAGCCGCCGCGGUAAGACGAGCUCUCCAAACGUUAUUCGGUAUCACUGGGCUUAAAGAGUUCGUAGGCGGUCCCGUAGGUGAGGUGUGAAAUCCCUCGGCUCAACCGAGGAAUUGCGCUUCAAACCGUGGGACUUGAGGGAGGCAGAGGUAAGCGGAACAGAUGGUGGAGCGGUGAAAUGCGUUGAUAUCAUCUGGAACACCGGUGGCGAAAGCGGCUUACUGGGUCUCUUCUGACGCUGAGGAACGAAAGCUAGGGUAGCGAACGGGAUUAGAUACCCGCGUAGUCC